rnacentral:rRNA from 1 species
AUUGAACGCUGGCGGCAGGCCUAACACAUGCAAGUCGAACGAGUGGCGGACGGGUGAGUAAUGUCUGGGAAAGUGCCUGAUGGAGGGGGAUCACUACUGGAAACUGUAGCUAAUACCGUAUACCAUGAGAUGUGCCCAUAUGGUAGUGGCUUGUUGGUGGGGUAACGGCUCACCAAGGCCACGAUCCCUAGCUGGUCUGAGAGGAUGACCAGCCACACUGGAACUGAGACACGGUCCAGACUCCUACGGGAGGCAGCAGUGGGGAAUAUUGCACAAUGGGCGCAAGCCUGAUGCAGCCAUGCCGCGUGUAUGAAGAAGGCCUUCGGGUUGUAAAGUACUUUCAGCGGGGAGGCGUUACCCGCAGAAGAAGCACCGGCUAACUCCGUGCCAGCCGCCGCGGUAAUUC